GAUCAUGGCUCAGGAUGAACGCUAGCUACAGGCUUAACACAUGCAAGUCGAGGGGAAACGACAUCGAAAGCUUGCUUUUGAUGGGCGUCGACCGGCGUACGGGUGAGUAACGCGUAUCCAACCUGCCCAUCACUUGGGAAUAACCUUGCGAAAGUAAGACUAAUGCCCAAUGACAUCCCACGAAGGCAUCCGAAUGGGAUUAAAGAUUUAUCGGUGAUGGAUGGGGAUGCGUUCCAUUAGG
rnacentral:rRNA from 1 species